GACGAACGCUGGCGGCGUGCCUAAUACAUGCAAGUUGAGCGCUGAAGGUUGGUACUUGUACCAACUGGAUGAGCAGCGAACGGGUGAGUAACGCGUGGGGAAUCUGCCUUUGAGCGGGGGACAACAUUUGGAAACGAAUGCUAAUACCGCAUAAAAACUUUAAACACAAGUUUUAAGUUUGAAAGAUGCAAUUGCAUCACUCAAAGAUGAUCCCGCGUUGUAUUAGCUAGUUGGUGAGGUAAAGGCUCACCAAGGCGAUGAUACAUAGCCGACCUGAGAGGGUGAUCGGCCACAUUGGGACUGAGACACGGCCCAAACUCCUACGGGAGGCAGCAGUAGGGAAUCUUCGGCAAUGGACGAAAGUCUGACCGAGCAACGCCGCGUGAGUGAAGAAGGUUGUCGGAUCGUAAAACUCUGUUGGUAGAGAAGAACGUUGGUGAGAGUGGAAAGCUCGUCAAGUGACGGUAACUACCCAGAAAGGGACGGCUAACUACGUG
rnacentral:rRNA from 1 species